rnacentral:rRNA from 1 species
AGCGCAGGUGGUUUCUUAAGUCUGAUGUAAAAGGCAGUGGCUCAACCAUUGUGUGCAUUGGAAACUGGGAGACUUGAGUGCAGGAGAGGAGAGUGGAAUUCCAUGUGUAGCGGUGAAAUGCGUAGAUAUAUGGAGGAACACCGGAGGCGAAAGCGGCUCUCUGGCCUGUAACUGACACUGAGGCUCGAAAGCGUGGGGAGCAAACG